rnacentral:lncRNA from 1 species
AAUAAAAAUUAAUGGUCGGUAAUUUCAUAAGAAAAAAGUUAUUAAUUGAAGGGUCAAUUGCAUACAGGUCCCUGCAAACAUAGUAAAUUGCAGAUAUAUCUCUGUAAAGUUCAACUUUUAUAAGUUAUCCGUACAAAAGUUCUAAUAUUUUUAAAUGUCCUUGCCGUUAGAAUCCGUUAGAAAAGUUUUGUUAACUAUAGGUUAAAUAUUUUACCCGGGUUAAUUUUUGAUAUUUUUACCUCUCUUAUAUUAUACUGUUAUAACUUUUGGACGGAUAUAUUUGUGAUAGCAAAAUUAAAAAUAUAAACAAUUUUUUAAUGGUUCUCUAAUAGUAACAAACCAGAGGGACAUAUUUGAAAAUAUUAGGACUUUAAGGGAUAACUUAUAAAAAUUGAACUUUACAGGGAUAUAUUUGCAAUUCAUUAUGUUUGUGGGGACCUGUAUGCAAUUAACCCU